rnacentral:lncRNA from 1 species
GAAAGGUUCAAGUCUGUGAGUUGAAUGCACACAUCACAAAGCAGUUUCCUUUUUUUUAAUUUAUUCUUUAUUAGUAUACUUUAAGUUUUAGGGUACAUGUGCACAUUGUGCAGGUUAGUUACAUAUGUAUACAUUUGCCAUGCUGGUGCGCUGCACCCACUAACUCGUCAUCCAGCAUUAGGUGCAUCUCCCAGUGCUAUCCCUCCCCCCUACCCCCAACCCAAAACAGUUCCCAGAGUGUGAUAUUCCCUUUCCUGUAAGUUUCUGAGAAUGCUUCCACAUAGUUUUUAUGUGAAGAUAUUCCCAUUCAACGAAGGCCUCAAAGCAGUCCAAAUAUCCACUUGUACAGUCUGAGAAAAGAAGGUUUCAAAACUGCUCUAUGAAAAGAUAUGUUCAACUCUCUGAGUUGAAUGAAAACAUCACAAAGAAGUUCCUGAGAAUGUUCUGUCUAAUUUUUAUGUGUGGAUAUUUCCUUUUCCACCAUAGGGCUCAAAGCACUCCAAAUGUCCACUUGCAGAUUCUACAAAAAGAGUGCUUCAAAACUGCUCUAUCAAAAGAGAGGUUCCACACUGUGGGUUGAACGCACACAUCACAAAGAAGUUUCUGAGAAUUCUUCUGAAUAGAUUUUAUGUGAAGAUAUUCCCAUUUCCAACGAAGGCCUCAAAGCUGUCCAAAACAUCCACUUGCAGAUACUAUGAAAAGAGAGUUUCAAAACUGCUCUAUGAAAAGGUAUCCUCAACUCUGUGUGGUGAAUGCUAGCAUCCAAAGAAGUUUCUGAGAAUGCUUCUGUCUAGUUUUUAUGUGUAGAUAUUUCCUUUUCCACCAUAGGCCUCAAAGCUGACCAAAGGUCCACUUGAAGAUUCUACAAAAGUGUGUUUCAAAACUGCUCUAUCAAAAGAAAGGUUCAACUCUGUGAGUUGAAUGCACACAUCACAAAGAAGAUUCUGAGAAGUCUUCUGUCUAGUGUUUAUGUGUAGGUAUUCCAGUUUCAAACGAAGGUCUCAAAGCAGUCCAAAUAUCCACUUGCAGAUUCUAUGAAAAGAGUUUUUCAAAACUGCUCUAUGAAAAGCUAUGUUCAACUCUGUGAAUUGAAUGCAAACAUCAAAAAGAAGUUUCUGAGAAUGCUUCUGUCUAGUUUUUAUGUGAAAAUAUUUCCUUUUGCAAAGUCGGCCUGAAGGGUCUCCAAAUGUCCACUUGCAGAUUCUAAAAAUAAUGUUUCACAACUGCUCUAUCAAUAGAAAGGUACAAAUCUGUGAAUUGAAUGCACACAUCAGAAAGAAGUUUCUGACAAUGCUUCUGGCUAGUUUUUCUGUGAAGAUAUACCCGUUUCCAUUGAAGGCCUCAAAGCAGUCCAAAUAUCCACUUGCAUAUGCUAUGAAAAGAGUGUUUCAAAACUGCUCUUUAAAAAGGUAUCUUCAACUCUGUGAGUUGAAUGCAAACAUCACAAAAAGAAGUUUAUGAGAAUGCUUCUGUCUGUCUAGUUUUUAUGUGUAGAUAUUUCCUUUUCCACCCUAGGCCUCAAAGCUCUCCAAAUAUCCACUUUCAGAUUCUACAAAAAGAGUGUUUCAAAACUGCUCUAUCAAAAGAAAGGAUCAAAUCUGUGAGUUGAAUGCACACAUCACAAAGAAGUUUCUGAGAAUUCUUCUGAAUAGAUUUUAUGUGAAGAUAUUCUCAUUUCCAACGAGGGCCUCAAAGCAGUCCAAACAUCCACUUGCAGAUACUUUGAAAAGAGUGUUCCAAAACUCCUCUAUGAAAAGGUAUCUUCAACUCUGUGAGGUGAAUGCUAGCAUCACAAAGAAGUUUCUGAGAAUGCUUCUGUCUAGUUUUUAUGUGUAGAUAUUUCCUUUUCCACCAUAGGCCUCAAAGCUAUCCGAAGGUCCACUUAAAGAUUCUACAAAAAGUGUGUUUCAAAACUGGUCUAUCGAAAGGUUCAACUCUGUGAGUUGAAUGUACACAUCACAAAUAAGUUUCUGAGAAGACUUCUGUCCAGUGUUUAUGUGUAGGUAUUCCAGUUUCAAACGAAGGUCUCAAAGCAGUCCAAAUAUUCACUUGCAGAUUCUACGAAAAGAGUGUUUCAAAACUGCUCUAUGAGAAGAUAUCUUCAACUCUGUGAGUUGAAUGCAAACAUCACAAAGAAGUUUCUGAGAAGGAUUCUGUCUAGCGUUUAUGUGUAGGUAUUUCUUUUUCCACCAUUGUCCUCAAAACUCUCCAAAUGUCCACUUGCAGAUACUACAAAAAGAGUGUUUCAAAACUGCUCUAUGAAAAGAAAGGUUCAAAUCUGUGAGUGCAAUGCUCACAUCACAAAGAAGUUUCUGAGAAUGUUUCUGUAUAGUUCUUAUGUAAAGAUAAUCCCGUUUCCAAUGAAGGCCUCAAAGCAGUCCAAAUAUCCAAUUGCACAUUCCACGAAAAGAGUGUUUCAAAACAGCUCUAUGAAAAGGUAUCUUCAAAUCAGUCAGUUGAAUGCACACAUCACAAAGAUGUUUCUGAGAAUGAUUCUGUCUAGUUUUUAUGUGAAGAUAUUUCCUUUUCCAUUGUAGGCCUCAAAGCUCUCCCAAUGUCCCCUUGCAGAUUCUAAAAAUAGUGUUUCAAAACUGCUGUAUCAAAAGAAAGGUAUAUAUCAGUGAAAUGAAUGCACACUUCACAAAGAACUUUCUGAGAAUGCUUCUGUCUAGUUUUUAUGUGAAGAUAUUCCAGUUUCCAACGAAGGCCUCAAAGCAGUCCAAAUAUUCACUUGCAGAUUCUACGAAAAGAGUGUUUCAAGACUGCUCUAUGAAAAGGUAUCUUCAACUCUGUGAGUUGAAUGCAAACAACACAAAGAAGUUUCUGAGCAUGCCUCUGUCUAGUUUUUAUGUGUAGAUAUUUCUUUUUCCACUAUUUGGCUCAAAACACUCCAAAUGUCCACUUGCAGAUUGUACAAAAAGGGUGUUUCAAUACUGCUCUAUCAAAAGAAAGAUUCAAAUCUGUGAGUUGAAUGCACACAUUACAAAGACGUUUCUGAGAAUGCUUCUGUCUACUUUUUAAGUGAAGAUAUUCCCGUUUCCAACAAGGCCACAAAGCAGUCCAAAUAUCCACUUGCAGAUUUUACGAAAAGAGUGUUUCAAAACUGCUCUAUGAAAAGAAAUCAUCAACUCUGUGAGAUGAAUGCAAACAUAACAAAAAAGUUUCUGAGAAUGCAUCUGUCUAGUUUUUAUGUGAAGAUAUACCCGUUUCCAGUGAAGGCCUCAAAGCAGUCCAAAUAUCCACUUGCAGAUAUUGCGAAAAGAGAGUUUCAAAACUGCUCUUUGAAAAGGUAUCUUCAACUCUGUGAGUCGAAUGCACACAUCACAAAGAAGUGUCUGAGAAUGCUUCUGUCUAAUUUUUAUGUGUAGAUAUUUCAUUUUCCACCAUAGGCCUCAGGGCUCUCCAAAUGUCCACUUGCAGAUUCUACAAAAGUGUGUUUCAAAAGUCCUCUAUGAAAAGAAAGGUUCAACUCUGUGAGUUGAAUGCACACAUCACAAAGAAGUUUCUGAGAAUGCUGCUGUCUGGUUUUUAUGUGAACAUAUUCCGGUUUCCAACGAAGGCCUCCAAGCAGUCCACAUAUCCACUUACAGAUUCUAUGAAAUGAGUGUUUCAAAACUGCUCUAUGAAAAGGUAUCUUCAGCUCUUUGAGUUGAAUGCAAACAUCACAAAGAAGUUUCUGAGAAUGCUUCUGUCUAGUUUUUACGUGUAUAUAUUUCCUUUUCUACUGUAGGCCUCAAAGCUCUCCAAAUGUCCACUUGAUGAUCCACAAAAAGAGUGUUUCAAAACAGCUCUAUCAAAAGAAAGGUUCAACUCCGUGAGUUGAAUAAACACAUCACAAAGAAGUUUCUGAGAAUGCUUUCGUCUAGUUUUUAUGUGAAAAUCUUCCCGUUUCCAAUGAAAGCCUCAAAGCAGUCCAAAUAUCCACUUGCAGAUUGUAAGAAAAGAGUGUUUCAAAACUGCUCUAUGAAAAGGGUUGGUCAACUCUGUGAGUUGAAUGCAAACAUCACAAAGAAGUUUCUUAGAAUGCUUCUGUCUGGUUUUAAUGUGAAGAUAUUUCCUUUUCCACCAUAGGCCUCAAAGCUUUCCAAAUGUCCGCAUGCAGAUUCUAUAAAAAGAGUGUUGAAAAACUGCUCUAUCAAAAGAGAAGUACAAGUCUGUGAGUUGUGUGCACAUAUCACAAAGAAGUUUCUGAGGAUGCUUCUUUCUAGUUUUUAUGUGAAGAUAUACCCUUUUCCAAAGAAGGCCUCAAAGCAGUCCAAAUAUCAUCUUGCUGAUACUACGACAAGAGUGUUUCAAAACUGCUCUAUGAAAAGGUACUUUCCACUCUGUAAGUUGAAUGCAAACAUCAUAAAGAUGUUUCUGGGAAUGCUUCUGUCUAGUUUUUAUGUGAAAAUUUUUCCUUUUCCACCAUAGGCCACAAAGCUCUGCAAAUGUCCACUUGCAGAUUCUACAAAAAGAGUGUUUCAAAACUGCUCUAUCAAAAGAAAGGUUCAAACAUGUGAGUUGAAUGCACACAACACAAAGAAGUUUCUGAGAACUCUUCUGUCUAGUUUUUAUGUGAAGAUAUUCCCGUUUCCAACGAAGGCCUAAAAGCAGUCCAAAUAUCCACUUGCGGAUUCUACGAAAAGAGUUUUUCAAAACUGCUCUAUGAAAAGGUAACUUCAACUCUGUGAGUUGAAUGCUAACAUCACAAAGAAGUUUCUGAGAAUGCUUCUGUCUAGUUUUUAUGUGAAGAUAUACCCUUUUCCAAAGAAGGCCUCAAAGCAGUCCAAAUAUCAUCUUGCUGAUACUACGACAAGAGUGUUUCAAAACUGCUCUAUGAAAAGGUACUUUCCACUCUGUAAGUUGAAUGCAAACAUCAUAAAGAUGUUUCUGGGAAUGCUUCUGUCUAGUUUUUAUGUGAAAAUUUUUCCUUUUCCACCAUAGGCCACAAAGCUCUGCAAAUGUCCACUUGCAGAUUCUACAAAAAGAGUGUUUCAAAACUGCUCUAUCAAAAGAAAGGUUCAAACAUGUGAGUUGAAUGCACACAACACAAAGAAGUUUCUGAGAACUCUUCUGUCUAGUUUUUAUGUGAAGAUAUUCCCGUUUCCAACGAAGGCCUAAAAGCAGUCCAAAUAUCCACUUGCGGAUUCUACGAAAAGAGUUUUUCAAAACUGCUCUAUGAAAAGGUAACUUCAACUCUGUGAGUUGAAUGCUAACAUCACAAAGAAGUUUCUGAGAAUGCUUCUGUCUAGUUUUUAUGUGAAGAUAUUUCCUUCUCCACCAUAGGCCUCAAAGAUAUCCAAAUAUCCACUUGCAGAUUCUACAAAAAGAGUGUUUCAAAACUGCUCUAUCAAAAGAAACGUUCAACUCUGUGAAGUGAAUGCACACAUCACAAAGAAGCUUCUGUGAAUGCUUCUGUCUAGUUUUUAUGUGAAGAUUUUCCCGUUUCCAACGAAGGCCACAAAACAGUCCAAAUAUGCACUUGCAGAUUCAAGGAAAAGAGUGUUUCAAAUCUGCUCUCUUAAAAAGUAGGUUCAACUCUGUGAGUUGAUUGCAAACAUCACAAAGAAGUUUCUCAGAAUGCUUCUGUCUGUUUUUUGUGUGAAGAUAUUUCCUUUUCCACCACUGGCCUAAAAGCUUUCCAAAUGUCCACUUGCUGAUACUACAAAAAGGGUUUUUCAAAACUGCUCUACCAAAAGAAAGGUUUAACUCUGUGAGUUGGGUGGACAUAUAACAAAGAAGUUUGUGAGAAUGCUUCUGUAUAGUUUUUAUGUGACAAUAUUCCUGUUUCCUAUGAAGGCCUCAAAGCAGUCCAAAUAUCCAUUGCAGAUUCUAUGAAAAGAAUGUUUCAAAACUGCUCUAUGAAAAGUUAUCUUCAACUCUGUGAGUUGAAUGCAAACAUCACAAAGAAGCUUCUGAGAAUGCUUUUGUCUAGUUUUUAUGUGUAGAUAUUUCCUUUUCCAUCACUGGCCUCAAAGCUAUCCAAAUGUCCACAUGCAGAUUCUAAAAAAAGAGUGUUUUAAAACUGCUCUAUGAAAAGAAAGGAUGAAAUCUGUGAGUUGAAUGCACACAUCACAAAGAAGUUUCUGAGAAUGCUUCUGUCUAGUUUUUAUGUGAAGAUAUUCCCGUUGCAAUGAACUCCUCAAAGCAGUGCAAAUAUCCACUUGCACAUUUUAGAUAAGAGCGUUUCAAAACUGCUAUACGAAAAGGUACUUUCAACUCUGUGAGUUGAAUGCAAACAUCACAAAGAUGUUUCUGAGAAUGCUUCUGUGUGGUUUUUGUGUGUAGAUAUUUCCUUUUCCACCAUAGGCCUCAAAGCUCUCCAAAUGUCCACUUGCAGAUUCUACAAAAAGAGUGUUUCAAAACUGCUCUAUCAAAAGAAAGGUUCACCUCUGUGAGUUGAAUGCACAGAUCACAAAGAAGUCUCUGAGAAUGCUUCUGUAUAGUUUUAUGUGAAGAUAUCACCGUUUCCAACGAAGGCCACAAAGCAGUUCAAAUAUCCACUUGCAGAUUCUAUGAAAACAUUGUUUCAAAACUCCUCUCUGAAAAGGUAUCUUCAAGUCUGUGAGUUGAAUGCAAACAUCACAAAGAAGUUUCUGAGAAUGCUUUUGUCUAGUUUUUAUGUGUAGAUAUUUCCUUUUCCACCAUAGGCCUCAAAGCUAUCCAAAUGUCCACUUGCAGAUUCUACAAAAAGAAUGUUUCAAAACUGCUCUAUCAAAAGAAAGGUUCAAAUCUGUGAGUUGAAUGCACACAUCAAAAAGGAGUUUCUGUGAAUGCUUCUGUCUCGUUUUUAUGUGAAGAUAUUCCCGUUUCCAAUGAAAUCCUCAAAGCAGUUCAAAUAUGCACUUGCAGAUUCUAUGAAAAGAGUGUUUCAAAACUGCUCUAUGCAAAGGUAUGUUCAAAUCUGUGAGUUGAAUGCAAACAUCACAAAGAUGUUUCUGAGAAUGCUUCUGUGUGGUUUUUAUGCGUAGAUAUUUCCUUUUCCACCAUAGGCCUCAAAACUCUCCAAAUGUCCACUUGAAGAUUCUACAAAAAGAGUGUUUCAAAACUGCUCUAUCAAAAGAAAGGUUCAACUCUCAGUUGAAUGCACAUAUCACAAUGAUGUUUCUGAAAAUGUUUCUGUCUGGUUUUUAUGUGAACAUAUUCCCGUUUCCAACGAAGGCCACCAAGCAAUCCAAAUAUUCACGUGCAGAUUAUUUGAAGAGUGUUUCACAACUGCUCUAUGAAAAGGUAUCUUCAAAUCGGUGAGUUGAAAUCAAACAUCACAAAGAAGUUUCUGAGAAUGCUUCUUUCUAGUUUUUAUGUGAAUAUAUUCCCAUUUCCAUCAAAGGUCUCAAAGCAGUCCAAAUAUCCACUAGCAGAUUCUACGAAAACAGUGUUUCAAAACUGCUCUAUGAAAAGAUACCUUUUCAUAGAGAAACAUCACAAAGAAGUUUCUGAGAAUGCUUCUGUCUAGUUUUUAUGUGUAGAUAUUUCCUUUUCCACCAUAGGCCUCAAAGUUCUCCAAAUGUCCAAUGGCAGAUUCUACAAAAACAGUGUGUCAAAAUUGCUCUAUCAAAAGAAAGAUUCAACUCUGUGAGUUGAAUCCAUCAUCACAAAGAAGUUUCUGAGAAUGCUUCUGUCUAGUUUUUAUGUGUGGGUAUUUCCAUUUCCACCAUAGAACUCAAAGCUCUUCAAAUGUCCACUUGCAGAUUCUACAAAAAGAAUGUGUCAAAACUGCUCUAUCAAAAGAAAGUUUCAAAUCUGUGAGUUGAAUGCACACAUCACAAAGAAGUUUCUGAGAAUGUUUUUGUAUAGUUUUUAUGUGGAGAUAUUCCUAUUCCCAAAGAAGGCCUCAAAGCAGUCCAAAUAUCCAUUUGCAGAUACUACGAAAAUAGUGUUUAAAAACUGCACUAUGAAGACAUACAUUCAACACUGUGAGUCGAAUGCAAACAUCACAAAGAAGUUUCUGAGAAAUCUUCUCUCUAGUUUUUAUGUGAAGAUAUGUCCUUUUCCACCAUAGGCCUCAAAGCUCUCCAAAUGUCCACUUUCAGACUCUCCACUUGCAAAAGAAAGCUACAAACCAGGGAAUUGAAUGCAGACAUCACAAAGAAGUUUGUGAGAAUGCUUCUGUCUAGUUCUUAUGUGAAGAUAUUCCCGUUUCCAACGAAGGCCUCAAAUCUGUUCAAAUAUCCACUUGAAGAUUGUACGAAAAGAGUGUUUCAAAACUACUCUAUGAAAGGGUAUCUUCAAAUCUGUGAGUUGAAUGCAAACAUCACAAAGAAGUUUCUGAGAAUGCUUCUGUCUAGUUUUUAUGUGUAGAUAUUUCCUUUUCCAGCACAGGCCUCAAAGCUCUCAAAAUGUUCACUUGCAGAUUCUACAAAAGAGUGUUUCAAAACUGCUUUAUAAAAGAAAGGAUCAACCCUGUGAGUUGAAUGCACCCAUCACAAAGAAGUUUCUGAGAAUGCUUCUGAAUAGUUUUUAUGUGAAGAUAUUCCCGUUUCCAACGAAGGCCUCAAAGCAGUCCAUAUAUCCACUUGCAUAUCCUACGAAAAGAGUCUUUCAAGACUGCUCUAUGAAAAGGUAUCUUCAACUCUGUGAGUUGAAUGCAAACAUCACAAAGAAGUUUCUGAGAAUGCUUCUGUUUAGUUUUUAUGUGAAGAUAUUUCAUUUUCCACCAUAGGCCUCAAUGCUCUACAAAUGUCCACUUGCAGAUUCUACAAAAAGAGUGUUUCCAAACUGCUCUAUCAAAAGAAAGGUUCAACUCUGUGAGUUGAAUGCACACAUCACAAAGACGUUUAUGAGAAUGCUUCUGUCUAGUUUUUAUGUGAAAAUAUUCCUGUUUACAACGAAGGCUUCAAAGCAGUCCAAAUAUCCACUUGCAGAUAUGCAAAAGAGUGUUUGAAAACUGCUCUAUGAAAACAUAUCUUCAGCUCUGUGAGUUGAAUGCAAACAUCAGAAAGAAGUUUCUGAGAAUGCUUCUGUGUGGUUUUUAUGUGUAGAUAUUUCCUUUUCCACCAUAGGCCUCAAAACUCUCCAAAUGUCCACUUGCGGAUUCUACAAAAAGACUGUUUCAGAACUGCUCUAUCAAAAGAAAGGUUCAAAUCUCUGAGUUGAAUGCACAUAUCACAAAAAAGUUUCUGAGAAUGUUUCUAUCUGGUUUUUAUAUGAAGAUAUUCCCGUUUCCAAAGAAGGCCACAAAACAGAUCAAAUAUUCACUUGCAGAUGGUAUGAAAAGAGUGUUUCAAAACUGCUCUAUGAAAAGUUAUCUUCAAAUCUGUGAGUUGAAUUCAAACAUCACAUAGAUGUUUCUGGGAAUGCUUCUGUCUAGUUUUUAUGUGACGAUAUUCCUGUUUCCAUCAAAGGCCUCAAAGCAGUCCAAAUAUACACUUGCAGAUAAUACGUAAAGAGUGUUUCGGAACUGCUCUUUGAAAAGAUAUUUUUCAUAGAGAAACAUCACAAAGAAGUUUCCGAGAAUGCUUCUGUCUAGUUCUUAUGUGAAGAUUUUGCCGUUUCCAACCAAGGCCUCAAAUCUGUCCAAAUAUCCACUUGCAGAUUGUACGAAAAGAGUGUUUCAAAUCUGUUCUCUGAAAAGGUAUCUUCAAGUCUGUGAGUUGAAUGCAAACAUCAGAAACAAGUUUCUGAUAAUGCUUCUGUGUGGUUUUUAUGUGUAGAUAUUUCCUUUUCCACCAUAGGCCUCAAAGCUCUCCAAAUGUCCACUUGCAGAUUCUACAAAAAGAGUGUUUCGAAACUGCUCUAUCAAAAGAAAGGUUCAAAUCUGCAAAUUGAAUGCACAUAUCACAAAGCAGUUUCUGAGAAAGUUUCUCUCUGGUUUUUAUGUGAAGAUAUUCCCGUUUCCAACGAAGGCCACAAAGCAGUCCAAAUAUCCACUUGUAGAUUGUAUGAAAAGAGCGUUUCAAAACUGCUCUAUGCAAAGGUAUCUUCAAAUCUGUGAGUUGAAUUCAAAUAUCAGAAACAAGUUUCUGAGAAUGCUUCUGUCUAGUUUUUAUGUGAAGAUAUUCCCGUUUCCAUCGAAGCCUCAAAACAGUCCAAAUAUCCACUUGCAGAUUCUACGAAAAGAGUGUUCCAAAACUGUUCUAUGAAAAGAUACCUUUUCAUAGAGAAACAUCACAAAGAAUUUCUGAGAAUGCUUCUGUCUAGUUUUUAUGUGAAGAUAUUUCCUUUUCCACCAUAGGCCUCAAAGCUCUCCAAAUGUCCACUUGCAGAUUCUACAAAAAGAGUGUGUUAAAACUGAUCUAUAAAAAGACAGGUUAUACUCUGUGAGUUGAAUGCAAACAUCACAAAGAAAUUUCUGAAAGUGCUUCUGUCUGGUUUUUAUGUGAAGAUAUUUCCUUUCCCAUUUAAGCCUCAAAGCUCUCCAACUGUCCACUUGCAGAUUCUACAAAAAGAGUGUUUCAAAACUGCUCUAUCAAAAGAAUAGUUCAAAUCUGUGAGUUGAAUGCACACACCACGAAGAUGUUUCUGAGAAUGUUUCUGUCUAGUUUUUAUGUGAAGAUGAUAUACCCGUUUCUAACGAAGGCCUCACAUCAGUCCAAAUAUCCACUUGCAGAUUCUACCAAAACAAUGUUUCAAAACUGCUAUAUGAAAAGGUACAUUCAACUCUGUGAAUUGAAUGCAAACAUCACAAAGCAGUUUCUGAGAAUGCUUCUGUCUAGUUUUUAUGUGAAGAUAUUUCCUUUUCCACCUUAGGCCUCAAAGCCCUCCAAAUGUCCACCUGCACAAUCUACAAAACCAGUGUUUCAAAACUGCUCUAUAAAAAGCAAGGUUCAACCCUGUGGAUUGAAUGGACAUAUCAAAAGAAGUUUCUGAGAAUGCUUCUGUCUAGUUUUUAUGUGAAGGUAUUCCCUUUUGCAACGGUGGCCUCAAAGCAGUCCAAAUACUCUACGAAAAGAGUGUUUCAAAACUGCUCUAUGAAAAGUUAUGUUCAACUGUGUGAGUUGAAUGAAAACAUUACAAAGAAGUUUCUGAGAAUGCUUCUGUCUAGUUUUUAUCUGAAGAUAUUUCCUUUUCCACCAUAAGCUUCAAAGCUCUCCAAAUGUCCAGUUGCAGAUACUACAAAAAGAGUGUUUCAAAACUGCUCUAUCAAAAGAAAGAUUCAACUCUGUGAAUUGAUUGCACACGUCUUCAAGAUGUUUCUGAGAAUGCUUCUGUCUAGUUUUUAUGUGAAGAUACUCCCAUUUACAACGAAUUCCUCAAAGCCGUCCAAAUAUUCACUUGCAGAUUCUAUGAAAAGAGUGUUUCAAAACUGCUCUGUGAAAAGGUAUCCUCAACGCUGUGAGUUGAAUGCAAACAAACAUCACAAUGGAGUUUCUCUGAAUGCUUCUGUCUAGUUUUUAUGCGAAGAUAUUUCCUUUUCCACCAUAGGCCUCAAAGCUCUCCAAAUGUCUGCCUGCAGAUUCUACAAAAAGAGUGUUUCAAAACUGCUAUAUCAAAAGAAAGGUUGAACUCUGUGAGUUGAAUGCACACAACAAAAAGUAGUUUGAGAGAAUGCUUCUGUCUAGUUUUUAUGUGAAGAUAUUCCCUUUUCCAACGAAGGCCUCAAAGCAAUCCAAAUAUCCACUUGCAAAUCCUACCAAAAGAGUGUUUCUAAAUGCUCUAUGAAAAAGUAUGUUCAACUCUGUGAGUUGAAUGCCUACAUCACAAAGAAGUUUCUGAGAAUGCUUCUCACUAAUUUUUAUGUGAAGAUAUUUCCUUUUCCACCAAAGGCCUCAAAGCUUUCCAAAUGUCCACUUGCAGAUUCCCCACAAAGAGUAUUUCAAAACUGCUCUGCCAAAAGAUAAGUUCAACUCUGUGAGUUGAGUGCACACAUCACAAAUAAGUUUGUGAGAAUUCUUCUGUCUAGCUUUUAUGUGAAGAUAUUCCCCUUUCCAACGAAGGCCUCAAAGUUGUCAAAAUACCCACUUGAAGAUCCUACGAAUAGAGUGUUUCAAAACUGCCCUAUGAAAAUGUGUCUUCAAAUCUGUGAGUUGAAUGCAAACAUCACAAAGAUGUUUCUGAGAAUGAUUCUGUCUAGUUUUUAUGUGAAGUUAUUUCCUUUUCCACCAUAGGCCUCAAAGCGCUCCAAAUAUCCACUUGCAGAUUCUACAGAAAGAGUGUUUGAAAACUGCUCAAUCAAGGGAAAGUUUCAACUCUGUGAGUUGAAAGCACACAACACAAAGAGGUUUCUGAGAAUGCUCCUGUCUAGUUUUGAUGUGAGGACAUUUCUUUUUCUGCUGUACGAUGCAAAGGGCUUCAAAUAUCCACUUGUAGAUUCCACAAAAAGAGUAUUUCAAAACUACUCUAUCAAAAGAAAGUUUCAACUUUGUGAGAUGAAUGCACAGAACACAAAGAAGUUUCUGAGAAUAUUUCUGUCUAGUUUUUAUGUGAAGAUAUUUCCUUUUCCACCAUAGGCCUCAAAGUUCUCCAAAUAUCGACUUGAAGAUUCUACAAAGAGAGUGUUUCUAAACUCCUCAAUUAAAGGAAAGGUUCAACUCUGUGAGUUGAAUGCACACAACACAAAGAAGUUUCUAAGAAUGCUUUUGUGUAGUUUUUACGUGAGGACAUUUCCUUUUCCACCGUAGGCUUCAAAGCACUGCAAAUAUCCACUUGCUUAUUCUACAAAAGAGUGUUUCAAAACUGCUCUAUUAAAAGAAAGGAUCAACUCUGUGACUUGAAUGCACACUUCACUAAGUAGUUUCUGAGAAUUUUUCUGCUAGAUUUUAUAUGAUGAUAUUUCCUUUUCCACCAUAGGCCUCAAAUCGCUCCAAAUAUCCACUUGCAGGUUCUACAAAAAGAGGGUUUCAAAACUGCUCUAUCAAAAGAAAUGUUCACCUCAGUGAGUUGAAUGCACCCAACACAAAGAAGGUUCUGAGAAUGCUUCUGUCUAGUUUUUAUGUGAAGAUAUUUCCUUUAACACCAUAAUCCUCAAAGUGCUCCAAAUAUACACUUGCGGAUUCUAGGAAAAGAGUGUUUCAAAACUGCUCUAUCAAAAGGAAUGUUCAACUCUGUGAGUGGAAUGCAAACAUCACAAAGGAGUUUCUGAGAAUGGCUCUGUCUAGAUUUUAUAUGACGAUAUUUGCUUUUUUAUGAUAGACCUUAAUGCGGUCAAAUUAUCCACUUGCAGUUUCUACACAGAGUCUUUCAAAAUUGCUCUGUCAAAAUGAAAGUUCAACUCUGUGAGUUGAAUACACACAUCAAAAACUUUCUGAGAAUUUUUCUGUCUAGUUUUUAUGUGAAGGUAUUCCCGUUUCCACAGAAGGCCUCAAAGGCGUUCAAAUAUCCACUUGCAGGUCCUACAAAAAGAGUGUUUCAAAACUGCUAUAUGAAAAGAAAUGUUCAAAUCUAUGAGUUGAAGACAAACAUCUCAAAGAAGUUUUUGGUAAUACCUCUGCGUAGUUUCAAUGUGAAGAUAUUUACUUUUUUACCAUAGGCAUCAAAGCGCUCCAAAUGUCCACUUGCAGAUUCAACAAAUAGAGUGUUUCAAAGUUGCUCUAUCAAAAGAAAGGUUCAACUCUGUGAGUUGAACACAAACAUCACAAAGUAGUUUCUGAGAAUGCUUCUGUCUAGUUUUUAUAUGAAGAUAUUUCCAUUUCUACAGUAGGUCCCAAAGAGCUCCAAAUAUCCACUUGCAGAUUCUACAAAAACAGAGUUUUAAAAUUGUUAUAUCAAAAGGAAGGUUCAACUCUCUGAGCUGAAUGCACAUAUCACAAAGAAGUUUCUGAGAGUGCUUCUGUCUAGUUUUUAUGUGAAGAUAUUCCGGUUUCCACAGAAGGCUUCAAGUAACUCAAAGUAUCCAUUUGCAGAUUCUACAAAAAGAGUGUUUCAAAACUGCUCUGUCAAAACAAAGUUUCAACUCUGUAAGUUGAAUGCACACAUCAUAAAGAAGUUUCUGAGAAUUCUUCUGUCUACUUUUUAUAUGAAGACACUUCUUUUCCACCAUAGGCCUCAAAGCGCUCCAAAUAUUCACUUGCAAAUCGUACAAAUAGACUGUUUCAAAACUUCUCUAUCUAAAGGAAGGUUCAACUCUGUGAGUUGAAUGCACACAUCACAAAGAAGUUUCUGAGAAUGCUUCUGUCUAGUUUUUAUGUGAAGAUAUUCUCGUUUACACCAUAAGCCUCAAAACGGUUGAAAUAUCCACUUGCAGAUUCUACAAAAAGAGUGUUUCAAAACUGCUCUAUGAAAAGGAAAGUUCAACUCUGUGAGUUGAAUACAAACAUCACAAAGUAGUUCCUUAGGAUGCUUCUGUCUAGUUUUUAUGUAAAGAUAUUUCCUUUUUCACCACUGACAUCAAAGUGCUCAAAAUGUCCACUUACAGAUUCUACAAAAACAAUGUUUAAAAACUGCUCUAUCAAAAGAAAGGUUGCAUUCUGUGAGUUGAAUGCACACAGCUCAAAGUAGUUUCCUAGAUUACUUCUGUCUAGCUUUUCUAUGAAGAUAUUUCCUUUUCUACCAUAGACCUCAAAACGCUCCAAAUAUCCACUUACAGAUUCUACAAAAAGAGUGUUUCAAAACUGCUCUAUGAAAAGCAAGGUUCAACUCUGUGAGUUGAAUGCAAACAUCACAAAGUAGUUUCUAAGAAUUCCUCUCUCUAGUUUUUAUAUGAUGAUAUUUCCUUUUCUCCCAUAGGCCUCAAUGAGCUCCAAUUAUCCACUUGCAGAUUCUACAAAAAGAGUGUUUCAAAAACUGAUCUACCAAAAGUAAUGUUCAACUCUGUGAAUUGAAUGCACACAUCACAAACGACUUUCUAAGGAUGCUUCUGUCUACUUCUUAUGUGAAGAUAUUCCCGUUUCCAACGCAGACCUCAAAGCUCUCCAAAUGUCCCCUUGCAGAUUCUACAGAAAGUGUGUUUCAAAACUACUCUAUCAAAGGAAGGUUCAACUCUGUGAGUUGAAUGUGCACAUCACAAAGAACUUUCUGAGAAUGCUUCUCUCUAGUUUUUGUGUGAAGAUAUUCCUGUUUCCACCGCAGGCCACAAAGAUCUCCAGAUAUCCACUUGCAGAUUCCACAGAAAGACUGUUCCAAAACUACUCUAUCAAAAGGAAGGUUCAGCUCUCUAAUUUGAAUGCACAAGUCACAAAGAAGAUUUUGAGAAUGCUUCUGUCUAGUUUUCUUGUGACGAUAUUCCCUUUUUCCACCGAAGGCCCCAAAGCACUACAAAUAUCCACUUGCGUUCCUACAAAAACAGUGUUUCAGAACUUCUCUAUCUAAAGGAAGUUUCAACUCUCUGAGUUGAAAGCACACAUCACAAAGAAGUUUCUGCGAAUGUUUCUGUCUAAUUUUUAUGUGAAGAUAUUCCCGUUUCCACCAAAGGCCUGAAAUCUGUCCAAAUAUCCACCUGCAGAUUCUACAAAAACACUGUUUGAAAACUCCUCUAUGAAAAGGAAUGUUCAACUCUUCGAGUUGAAUGCAAACAUCACAAAGAAGUUUCUGAGAAUGCUUCUGUCCACUCUUUAUGGGAAGAUACUUCAUUUUCCACCAUAGGAAUCAACGAGCUCCAAAUGUCCACUUGCAGAUUCUACAAAACGACUGUUUCAAAACUGCUCAAUCAAAAGAAAGGUUGAAUACUGUGAGAUGAGUGCACACAUCACAAAGUAGUUUCUGAGAAUGCUUCUGUAUAGUUUUUAUGUGAAGAUAUUUCCUUUCGUACCAUAGGCCUCAAAGCGCUAGAAAUAUCCACUUGCAGAUUCUACAAAAAGAGUGUUUCAAAACUGCUCUAUCAAAAGGAAGGUUCAACUCUCUGAGUUGAAUGCACACAUCAAAGAAGUUUCAGAGAAUGCUUCUGUCUACUUUUUGUGUGAAGACAUUCCCGUUUCCACCAUAGGCAUCAAAGAGCUCCAAAUAUCCACUUGCAGAUCCUACAAAAAGCGUUUUUCAAAACUGCUCUAUAAAAAGAAAAGUUUAACCCUGUUAGUUGAAUGCAUACAUCACAAAGAAGUUUCUGAGAAUGAUUCUUUCUACUAGUUAUGUGAAGAUACACCCUUUUCCACCACAGGACUAAAAGCGCUCCAGAUAUCUACUUGCAGAUUCUACAAAAAGAGUGUUUCAAAACUGCUCUAUGAAAGGGAAGG